AGAUAAUUUCCAAGACCAGAUGAAGCGGGAGCUGGCCUACCGAGAGGAGAUGGUGCAGCAACUCCAAAUCGUGCGGGAUACGCUGUGCAAUGAGCUGGACCAGGAGAGGAAGGCCCGCUACGCCAUUCAACAGAAGCUAAAAGAGGCGCACGACGCACUCCACCACUUCUCCUGCAAGAUGCUGACUCCACGCCACUGCACCGGGACCUGCUCCUUCAAGCCCCCUUUGCUGCCCCAGUGAACCGCCCCCGGCCCAUUGCACCCCUCCAGGGUUGGGCACAAAGCCGGCGUGGCUUAAAAGUGUGUCUUUGUGUGUGUCAGACACGCAACACAACACAACACACAGACUGAGCAAAACCCACCGUGGAAGUGGACUGUCCGCCAGACAUCUGAGGCCUCCUCUCCAGCCAGAUCCACCUGGACUGGAAGACGAAGAGGCGAAGAGUUGUGUAAAUAAGCAAAAAACGGGGUACGGAUUCGGAGUGAGACCUCUUUCCCCGUGUAAAUAGAGACUCAGCAGACUCAAAUAUCCAGCAGACUUAAAAAUAACACUUCAAAAGAGCUGCUGGGUAUAGGACUGACCGGAGGUGGGAUGGCAGGUUGUGUAAUUUUGGGUUGACCACUACAGAUUUGGGCCUCGGGGCCCCUCUUCUGCCCCGCCUUGUGUCCACUUCACUCCAUCCUCCCCUGGACUUUUUUCGGGGGGUCUUUGGGGGUCUUCAGAGUGGCGAUGUGCAAUAGAUAGAAAUGUACUGUGAGGUUUUUCUUUUUCCCCUUCCCCUUCUUGGUCCAGUAUUUGUUGAUGGUCCUUUUUUUAAACACCCGGUUAUUUAUUUAAUGCUUUAUUUAUUAUGUAUAUUUAUCCCCUGCCCCUCCCCUGUAAAAUGUCGAUGUAUAACAGCACUUUAAUAGAAAGAGGCCGCUUCGUUGGACGAGGACAUUGGACGUCUCAAGCGAAAUAAUCGAUAACGAAAGGCGUUGAAAUCAAAAUGGAAUAAUUUGGGUUUGGGGGUUUCCCCCCCUGAGUUGUGGUCGUCGUUCCCGGAGAAAACUCCCAUCCUUCUGUCAGGUGCCCUCC